UUUUCGUUUUUCCAUGUCCAACGUUUGACCAUUCGUCUUAUUUGAAUUUUUUUACGAUUAAUAUUUUUAUUAUUACUAGAUGAUAAAAUAUGAAUAGUACUUUAUACGUGACUAAUUUUUUAAAAUUUUUGUACAAAUUUUUCAAAUAAGACGAAUGGUUAACGUUGAACAAGGAAAAAC
rfam:Oryza brachyantha chromosome 3, whole genome shotgun sequence.